rnacentral:rRNA from 1 species
AAACCAACAGGGAUUGCCUUAGUAGCGGCGAGUGAAGCGGCAAGAGCUCAAAUUUGAAAUCUGGUACCUUUGGUGCCCGAGUUGUAAUUUGAAGAUCACAAUCUUGAAAUUGGUCCUUGUCUAUGUUCCUUGGAACAGGACGUCACAGAGGGUGAGAAUCCCGUGCGAUGAGGAUACCUUUUUCAUUUAAGAUGUGUUCGACGAGUCGAGUUGUUUGGGAAUGCAGCUCAAAGUGGGUGGUAAAUUCCAUCUAAAGCUAAAUAUUGGCGAGAGACCGAUAGCGAACAAGUACAGUGAUGGAAAGAUGAAAAGAACUUUGAAAAGAGAGUGAAAAAGUACGUGAAAUUGUUGAAAGGGAAGGGUAUUUAAUCAGACUUGGUAUUUAGCUAUCUCUUCUCCUUGUGGGAGGGGCUCUAGCUUUUUACUGGGCCAGCAUCAGUUUUGGUGGUAAGAUAAUCGCAGUUGAAUGUGGCUCUUCGGAGUGUUAUAGCUUCUGUUGAUGUUACCUACCGGGACUGAGGUCUGCGGCUUUUGCCUAGGAUGCUGGCGUAAUGAUUAAACACCGC